GGUUAAGUGACUAAGCGUACACGGUGGAUGCCUUGGCAGUCAGAGGCGAUGAAAGACGUAGUAACUUGCGAUAAGCCCAGAUUAGGUAGUAACAACCAUUUGAGUCUGGGAUUUCUGAAUGGGGAAACCCACGUGCAUAAGCACGUAUCCUUACCUGAAUACAUAGGGUAAGGAGGCGAACCGGGGGAACUGAAACAUCUAAGUACCCCGAGGAAAAGAAAUCAACCGAGAUUCCGAAAGUAGCGGCGAGCGAAAUUGGACUAGCCCUUAAGCUUUACACGCGUUAGACGAACGGUCUGGAAAGUCCGACGAUACAGGGUGAUAGUCCCGUAGUUGACGACGUGUGUUCAGUGAAAUCGAGUAGGGCGGGACACGUGAUAUCCUGUCUGAAUAUGGGGGGACCAUCCUCCAAGGCUAAAUACUACUGACUGACCGAUAGUGAACCAGUACCGUGAGGGAAAGGCGAAAAGAACCCCUGUGAGGGGAGUGAAAUAGAACCUGAAACCGUGUACGUACAAGCAGUAGGAGCAGGCUUUGUCCUGUGACUGCGUACCUUUUGUAUAAUGGGUCAGCGACUUAUAUUCAGUGGCAAGGUUAACCAUCUAGGGGAGCCGUAGGGAAACCGAGUCUUAACUGGGCGUUCAGUCUCUGGAUAUAGACCCGAAACCAGGUGAUCUAGCCAUGGGCAGGUUGAAGGUUGAGUAACAUCAACUGGAGGACCGAACCGACUAAUGUUGAAAAAUUAGCGGAUGACUUGUGGCUAGGGGUGAAAGGCCAAUCAAACCUGGAGAUAGCUGGUUCUCCCCGAAAGCUAUUUAGGUAGCGCCUCGGACGAAUACUACUGGGGGUAGAGCACUGUUAAGGCUAGGGGGUCAUCCCGACUUACCAACCCUUUGCAAACUCCGAAUACCAGUAAGUACUAUCCGGGAGACACACGGCGGGUGCUAACGUCCGUCGUGGAGAGGGAAACAACCCAGACCGCCAGCUAAGGUCCCAAAUUACUACUAAGUGGGAAACGAUGUGGGAAGGCUCAGACAGCCAGGAUGUUGGCUUAGAAGCAGCCAUCAUUUAAAGAAAGCGUAAUAGCUCACUGGUCGAGUCGGCCUGCGCGGAAGAUGUAACGGGGCUAAGUAGUAAACCGAAGCUGCGGCAAUAUACUUUUGUAUAUUGGGUAGGGGAGCGUUCUGUAAGCGGUUGAAGGUGUGUGGUAACGCAUGCUGGACGUAUCAGAAGUGCGAAUGCUGACAUGAGUAACGAUAAAGGGGGUGAAAAACCUCCUCGCCGGAAGACCAAGGGUUCCUGUCCAACGUUAAUCGGGGCAGGGUAAGUCGACCCCUAAGGCGAGGCCGAAAGGCGUAGUCGAUGGGAAACGGGUUAAUAUUCCCGUACUUCUUACAAUUGCGAUGGGGGGACGGAGAAGGCUAGGUGGGCCUGGCGACGGUUGUCCAGGUUCAAGUGCGUAGGCUUAAGAGUUAGGUAAAUCCGGCUCUUUUUAAGGCUGAGACACGACGUCGAGCACCUACGGGUGUGAAGUCAUUGAUGCCAUGCUUCCAGGAAAAGCCUCUAAGCUUCAGAUUGUAAGGAAUCGUACCCCAAACCGACACAGGUGGUCGGGUAGAGAAUACCAAGGCGCUUGAGAGAACUCGGGUGAAGGAACUAGGCAAAAUGGUACCGUAACUUCGGGAGAAGGUACGCUCUUGAUGGUGAAGUCCCUUGCGGAUGGAGCUGACGAGAGUCGCAGAUACCAGGUGGCUGCAACUGUUUAUUAAAAACACAGCACUGUGCAAAAUCGUAAGAUGACGUAUACGGUGUGACGCCUGCCCGGUGCCGGAAGGUUAAUUGAUGGGGUUAGACUUCGGUCGAAGCUCUUGAUCGAAGCCCCGGUAAACGGCGGCCGUAACUAUAACGGUCCUAAGGUAGCGAAAUUCCUUGUCGGGUAAGUUCCGACCUGCACGAAUGGCGUAAUGAUGGCCACGCUGUCUCCACCCGAGACUCAGUGAAAUUGAAAUCGCUGUGAAGAUGCAGUGUACCCGCGGCUAGACGGAAAGACCCCGUGAACCUUUACUACAGCUUGGCACUGAACAUUGACCCUACAUGUGUAGGAUAGGUGGGAGGCUUUGAAGCACGUACGCCAGUAUGUGUGGAGCCGUCCUUGAAAUACCACCCUUGUAGUGUUGAUGUUCUAACGUCGACCCCUAAUCGGGGUUGCGGACAGUGCCUGGUGGGUAGUUUGACUGGGGCGGUCUCCUCCCAAAGAGUAACGGAGGAGCACGAAGGUGGGCUAAUCACGGUUGGACAUCGUGAGGUUAGUGCAAUGGCAUAAGCCCGCUUGACUGCGAGAAUGACAAUUCGAGCAGGUGCGAAAGCAGGUCAUAGUGAUCCGGUGGUUCUGAAUGGAAGGGCCAUCGCUCAACGGAUAAAAGGUACUCCGGGGAUAACAGGCUGAUACCGCCCAAGAGUUCAUAUCGACGGCGGUGUUUGGCACCUCGAUGUCGGCUCAUCACAUCCUGGGGCUGAAGUCGGUCCCAAGGGUAUGGCUGUUCGCCAUUUAAAGUGGUACGCGAGCUGGGUUUAGAACGUCGUGAGACAGUUCGGUCCCUAUCUGCCGUGGGCGUUGGAAGAUUGAAGGGGGCUGCUCCUAGUACGAGAGGACCGGAGUGGACGAACCUCUGGUGUUCGGGUUGUGUCGCCAGACGCAUUGCCCGGUAGCUAAGUUCGGAAUCGAUAACCGCUGAAAGCAUCUAAGCGGGAAGCGAGCCCUGAGAUGAGUCUUCCCUGAUACUUUAAGUAUCCUAAAGGGUUGUCGGAGACUACGACGUUGAUAGGUCAGGUGUGUAAGUGCUGUGAGGCAUUGAGCUAACUGAUACUAAUUGCCCGUGAGGCUUAACCAU
rnacentral:rRNA from 1 species